GCUUGCUGUUAUAUGUUUUUGAUUUUUUCCUAUUAAAUGGUGAAAAACUAAAUGAAUAAAAAGAGAGGCUAAUCUGUUAUUAAGAAAAUUAUAACUAAUAACAUGAAGAACAACUUUUUCUACUCGAAUAAUUGUAGAUUUUAGUAACAUCAUAGCCGUUUUAAAAUCAAUUUUUUUUUAUUCAACGACGAUCUACAAUACAACUAUACAAGUACACAAUAGAGUGAAGUGUUUUUCCACUGCGAGGUGUUUCAAGUUUCAACAUCUUUACAACGGGCUAGUCUCUCUCCUCUUCGUGCGGAGAUGAAAGCCCUAUUCUGAGAAAUGGAAUGUAUGAGAAACUUACGUCAAUUUCAGGUUACGUUCGCAACGGAUUGUUCUCAAUUGGUGAAGAUGGUUUUGGAACCAGAAGAAUGACCAGUUUUUGCAAGUUAUUUGGAAGAUAUUAAGAUCUUGAAAGAAAGGACGCAUCUAUGUACCAAGGAUCAGAGGUCAUCUAUGUACCAAGGAUACAAAAUUCAAAGGCGGGUAGCCUAGCACGCAGUGUCUGGAAGCAAUCGUCUUUCGUCGUUCAUAUGGAUCAAGAUCUCCCGGUUUGGUUCACAGAAUCAGUAUGAAUAUAUAGUUGAUGACAAAAAAAAAAGCAAAUUCAAUUAAAAUAAUAAUUAUUCUAGUCCAAUGGCUAGUAUUUUAUUGGACUGUGGGAGGCAACGGCAUGCUAUUUUCAUUUUUUUGUGCAAAAAGGAUAUUGAGACUGCUGCAAAAAGGAAAAUUGAGGCCUAUAUAUAUUUGUUAUCAGAACGCAAGAAUCAAUUAUUUCCUUUCACUUUCUUCUUCUUCAUAUUCUUUCUCCAAUUACUCGGGGCAGAAAAUAUGUAGCCAGAUAUGGAAUACAUCGUUUAUAGAGAAGAGCUCGCACGGCUCAAUGUUGUACACAGCAGUGAAGACUAACUCCGUAGCGAUUAGAGAGUUGCUUGAAGGAGACGAUUCCCAUGGAAAUAGAGUCUACACGGGUACGCUUCCUCUCUUCUUGAACUUUUUAAAAUAGAAACAAAACGUUUUACUAACCAUAAACUGAUUUGGAAUCUAUCUAUAUAUAUAUAUAUAGACCCAAUUUGUUGAGAUCGCAGAGAGCAUUAACAUUGAAUCUCUCUUUGUAGUUAUGGUCAACUCUGAGGAAAAGACAAAGAAGAGCAAAUGUGACUCCUUUCUUGGCAUGUUCGUUGUAUCUUUGUCACUUCUUAAAGCUUUCAGUUGUACCGUAAGACAACAUCAUUUGGUCUAUUAAAUUUUCUACAUAUUUAGAUGGUUUUCACAAUCAAAUUUAUUUUGUUCUUUCUGGAUAAUUUGUCUCUUGACUCUUGAGUAAGGAAAUGAAUUAGAUAUAUUCUCCUUUGAUUUAUGUUUGUAUAGAUAACAAACUGAACUCCUGCAUAAAGUUACAAUAUCGGAGUUUCAUGACUGCCUUUUCAUAUGUUUUCUUUGUAUGCACAUGCUUUCAUGGCAGAGAUAGUGGAUAGUCAGGCUCUCAAGUCGCAUUCAUGAUGAUGACACCAUAGACGAGAGAAGACAUAAAGCUAGCUACAGUUUUGAAAACAAUAAAGAACUUGAAUGUUGAAAUUCCAUAUGUCUACUUCGCCGAAAAUACCUUCUCAUUACGGCGUUUCUUGCUUCAAGAAACCAACCCAGCAAUGCUAGAUGCCUGGAUGUUUUAAAAACAGUAUGUAUAUGUGUUUCUGCUUUGGCGUAUGUUUCUUAACUGAAAAUUAUUUGAUUACUGAAUUUGAUGCAAGUGUACGUAUGAUAUCUGAAUAGAAUCUGAUGUUUUUUCUUGGUGAUGUUUCCUUCCCGGGCCUCUGAGAAAUGGAUGGAAAAGAAAGAACUUGCAGAGCAGGAAGCAGUCAAGAGCCUGAAAGCUUUCCGCUGGAGAGACUAUUGGCAAUGCUCCAGUGCGUGCGUUGUGUCUUUAGGAGAUUCUUCAUUUGGUGAAGAGGAAGUAGGAGAAAAAGAAGAUAUGGGGAACGACAAAGAGAAUAACAUGUUGUAUGGUAUAUUCUGCUUCAAGUGUUGAGUCUUGCAAAAUUCAUAAUCAAAAGCCGAAGCCGCCCGUUAGAAGGUUCUUUCAGGCACCGUUCCAUGGUGUCUCAUGAUCCGUCUCUGAAGGUUACGAGAAGCCUGAGCUUUCCACUGUCCAAAUACUUCUACAGCAAAGUGUGGCAAAAGAUUUGACAGAACUAGAGGUAUAUGUCUUUGUUUCUAAACACAAAAAUAAUGUGGUAUAUAUUCAUCGAAAAGUUGCGAUGUGGAUGCUAUGCAUCUAAUCAAGAUAGGCUUGAUUUUGUUAUGGGAUUCUACGACAUUAGAAUUUAGUAAGAGUAUAAGAAUAGCUAAAUAACUUUCAUCGUUGGCUUAUACAUAUGGCUUUGUUUUUUGUUUGAUUAAAUGGGCUAUAUAGUGGAUCUUAGACACUGAUGAUAGUAUAUUAGUGUUUUCGCCACUAUUUUGGACAAAAAUUCAAGUAAGUAUUUUGGAAAAUC